rnacentral:rRNA from 1 species
UACGGAGGGUGCGAGCGUUGUCCGGAAUCACUGGGCGUAAAGGGCGCGUAGGCGGCACGUCAAGCGUGUGGUGAAAGCCCCGGGGCUCAACCCCGGGUCGGCCAUGCGGACUGGCGUGCUCGAGCACUGUAGGGGGACGCGGAAUUCCCGGUGUAGUGGUGGAAGUGCGUAGAUAUCGGGAGGAACACCAGUGGCGCAGGCGGCGUCCUGGCCUGUUCUUGACGCUGAGGCGCGAAAGCUAGGAGUCAACAGGG